rnacentral:rRNA from 1 species
ACAUGCGACCACAGGGUGUGGAGAACAGGGCUUCCCGUCCGCUCAGCCGUACUUAAGCCACACGCCGGUGAGUUAGUAGUUGGGUGGGUGACCACCAGCGAAUCCUCACUGUU